rnacentral:lncRNA from 1 species
AAAAAUGGUCCCAGUCCCAGAGUCUGUUUCUCUCUCACUCUCUGUAUCAGCCGACAACAACAGUGCUUUUUUAAUUUGCUGGAGCUGCCGACAACAACCAUGGUCUCCACUCUCCAGCAGAGGAUGUAAGGGGGAGUAUGUUUCUCCCCUUUCCAGCAGAGGAUGUAUUUUUUUCUGAGUUAAAAACUUCCUUUCUCCCCUUUCCGGCUUUCCCCAGGCUCCAGCAAAUUAAAAAAGCACUCCCCUAGUCCCCCGAUCCGGAGCGUCUCGCCAAGGACGAAGGUAAGAAUUGAUAACCAAAAUUUUAAAUAAAUUGUUUAAACUUUAAAGUUUACUUCCUCCGCAGAAAUAGUUGAGAAUCGCCGACGACGGAGAUCUAGAUUCUAGUUGAUAACCACUGAUACAGUAUUCACCGACGACGGAGGUCCUGAACUUAGUAUUUAUUUGCUUAGAGUUUAAUUAGGCUCUGAUGGGUCUGUAAAUUGUUGGAGAGUUUAUCAGAGAUUUUUCAUAUAUUAUGCUCCUCUCCCACUGCUCAUCCUCUUGUUGAUUGGAUAGAAUAGGCAACUAAUCUGACUCUUAUAAUUUUCUGUGAACUGGAAUUACAACAACAAAAGAUUUAAUUUGUCUGACAUGGAAGUUCUUUUCCUGAGAUUUUUCCAUCAAGGUUUAGUAUUGAAUUUGAUUUGAUAGUGUGAUUAUGCAACUUAAUUUUGUUUUAUUUGUAUUUUCUUGCAUUAUUCCUUUCCUUUAUACUUCUAAUUUUCUCAUAAAUAUUUGAACUCAAACAGAGUAGUUAAUGCGUGAUAUUUCUCUUUUUGUUUCUAUUUCUCUUGUUGAUUUGCAAUCUGUGAUGAAUAAUUGUUCAUGGCAUCUAAAAAAACUACCAGUGGCAAUAGACUUGAUGCGGGAUGGCAAUAUGUAUUUUAAGAUGUUUGGCUGUUUAUUUUGCGAUUUUACGAUUUUAGUUAAAAUAUUUUACUUGCGAUUUUAUUAUUUUUAGUUAAAAAAUUUUACUUCCGAUUUUACGAUUCGAGUUUACGAGUCGAGUUUAUAUUGUAUGUUCCGUGUCGUGUCAAAAAAAGCAUUUUUGACAACCUUGGAUAUAAUUGGUUAUAUAUUAUAGUAUUAGUUGUAUAUAUUUGUUAUUUUUAGUGAUGAGUUCAUAUUUUAUUUUACUUGUAUUUGAUUCUAUUUUUAUAAUUGUUUUUAGGCUUGCUGAUUUGAGACAUUAUUAUUGUUGAACAAAUUAUGAAUUUUCAUAUUUAUGUUGGAGUAGUAGAAUUUCAAACUAUGCAUUUUCAUGUGAAAGAGUAAACAAAGGAAAAAUGGUUAAGUGAAUCAAUGAGUUAAUUAUUGUUUUAGGCUUGCUAUUUUGGAAUUUUAUUAUUUUUAUUAUUUGUUAGCAUAAUUUAAAUUUGUAUAAUUAGGUUGCUUAGAACUUCAAACCAUGUGUUUUCUAGGUGAAUGAAGGCAAUAUGGUUAUGUAAAGUAAUGAGAUUAACAAAGAUAAUUAAAUCAAUAACCCUUUUAUAAAUGACAUUGUGAUGUUAAUGAACAUUGUAACAAUGGUAAUAAAAAUUGAAUAAUGGAACAUUUUAAGUUAAUUAAAUCAAUAACUCUUUUAUAGAUCACAUUGUGAUGUUACAAUAACAAAAUGAACAUGGCAACAAUGGUAAUAAAACUUGAAUAAUGGAACAUUGUAUUUUUAAAUAGGUUAGGGAAAAAAAAAGAUAAUGUUACAAGAGAUUGUUGGGUUGGAUUUAAUACAAGUAAAAUAAUUUUUAAAAAAUAAUUAUGUGAUAAAGACAAUAAAAAAAAAGGGUGACAAGAUGGACUCUUUAGGAUUUGGAUCGGGAAUUUAGGAUUUAAGAUUUGUGUUUAUAGUUUAGAUAUUAGUUUGAAUUUUAGUUUUGGAUUUAAAUUUUAGUUAGAGUUAUGACUUGAUUUUAGAAUUUUAAAUUUUAUUAGGGUUGAAUAUGGUUGCAAUUUCAGGGUUAUGUUGUUGUAAGAGUAAAAGUUAAGGCUUGAUUUUGAGAUUUUGAAUUUUAUUAGGGUUGAAUAUGGUUGUAACGUUGUUGUAACCAAUAUAGUCUAUUAAAUAUAUUAUUUUUCUAAAACUUUUCUGGUAUGUGCAUCUUUCCUACAAUUUUCAUUUGGGCAAGUAUAUUCUUAAAAAAACAUUUGACAAACUGUUAAUUUUCAAUGUUGAUAGCCAAUGAAACAUCUUAUGUACGUGUAUUCUUCAACUUCUUCCUCUUCCAUGAAAUCAUCCUCAACAAUAUAAACGUAAGUGUGAAAGUAUUUAACAUCAAAAUGGUACUGAACCAAUCAGAGAAGCAAGAAAAGAGGCUACACUAAUACAUUACUAUUCUUUAGGAUACAUGUAGUAUUGUGAUAACACAAUCUGUAAUUUUCAAGACACAUAAUUAAUUAAAAAGCAAGACAAAUUGAAAUUAAUGUUAAAGAUGUGGACAAGAAAACAAGCUUUGAUUUUCAUUAACCACCCAACACAAACUACAUAAAUUCAAAGAAAAGUCAACAAAAACUAGGCCUGGGUUUCUUGCAGACCGAUAUGCAGCCUCUUUGAUGAUCCCUGGAAAUUCUAUUCUUAGAAUAAUCCCUCAGAUCCUCAAGGCUAAUAUAUUGCUGCUUGACCAUCCUAGAGAAAUCACCUCCAGUGUCAUCAUAGUAAUAUAGCAAGCUCUUCAUACCUCCACUACUAGUACUGCCACUCCUAUUAGGCAUUUAGGCUUUGUAUAUGCUCUUACAUUUUAGUCUCUUAGAAGAACAUGGCUUGCACCUUUUUCAGUAUUGAUCCAACCCUUAUCUGCAGUUCAAUUGGCCUGUCACUCAAGUUCAAGACUCUGCUUUCAAAUCCUGAUGUCUGUGUAUGAUCAUGACAACCAUUGAUGCAGCCCCUAAGAGGAAAGAUGCUGAGACCUGCUAGUUUUUCUUUUAGGGUCUUGAAAUGUUAGGUCACCAUGAAAUCUGACAAAAAGAUAUUUAGACCCGUUCACUUAGCUAGGGUUGUGCUUCAUGUAUAAGGAUAUAGUACCAGAACUUUUUUUUGUUUGUUUUUUUAGGUUUUGGCCUAGAAUGGAUAUGUAUGUGAUGCUUAGAUUGUAGGGUCCUAGCCUUUCACAGUGGAAAUGGUAGGACCUAACCACAACCAAAGUUGAGCACAAGAAGACAACGGGAAAGCUGAAAUAUGGCAACAAAAACUUGUAAAAUUACCAUGUCUGGCUUUCCUUUCGUUUGUUAGAGAAAGUAAGAAAAAUAAAGAGAGCCAAUGGAACCCACAAUGCAUUUAAAUAUUUUCAUGAUGAGGCUGCAUAUGAUCUUGCUUCACCUCUCAUCAUUGGAAUUGAUUUUGGAUUUCCUCCUUUUCAAGUCCCGAACUAACUUUUCUAACCCUAAAGCAUUUUAAUAUGUGAAAGUGUUACCUUUGAUUUUGGAUCUCAAUAUACAAUAUGGGGACCAUGGCUUCUCAGUAGUAAGUUGUUAAAUAACAUGCUGGUCGGGACCAGAUAACACCACCUCCAACUAUGCUAUCAAACAGUACUUCCUAUCAUCUGUCAACAAUGGUGUUUACUGUUCACCAAAUGCCACAACUUCUAGGGAGUAGUUGAUUUUACCUUGACCAACAUUACGGAUCGUAUCCAACAACCGCAUCAUUUAAGCACCAGGAAUCUUCUAUCCUUCAUCAAUCAAUUGUUUUGUUAGUGCUUGGUCACAUCAGAGGCUUUGUCUUCUUUGCAGUGCUAGUUCAUUGGCAAUCUUCGUCUCCUGCUAAUUUGGAAUUAUGGGUUCUCUUCUCCUCUGUUGCUUAUCGGCUGUUGGUCUUUUGGUGGCUCAUUUGGCUUGCAGUGUCGUCUGUUUUGCUCUUGUUGAUCAGCUGCGUUC